rnacentral:tRNA from 1 species
GCCCAGGUAGCUCAGUUGGUAGAGCAGUGGACUGAAAAUCCGCGUGUCGGUCGUUCGAGUCGGCCCCUGGGCACCA